UACAGGGGGGGCAAGCGUUGUUCGGAAUUACUGGGCGUAAAGGGUUCGUAGGUGGCCAACUAAGUCAGACGUGAAAUCCCUCAGCUUAACUGGGGAACUGCGUCUGAUACUGGAUGGCUUGAGUGCAGGAGAGGAACGCGGAAUUCCAGGUGUAGCGGUGAAAUGCGUAGAUAUCUGGAGGAACACCGGUGGCGAAGGCGGCGUUCUGGACUGCAACUGACACUGAGGAACGAAAGCCAGGGGAGCAAACGGG
rnacentral:rRNA from 1 species